rnacentral:tRNA from 1 species
GGUAUCGCCAAGCGGUAAGGCAGCGGACUUUGACUCCGUUAUUCCUAGGUUCAAAUCGUGUU